rnacentral:rRNA from 1 species
CUACGGGACGCUCCAGUGGGGAAUCUUGGACAAUGGGCGCAAGCCUGAUCCAGCCAUGCCGCGUGAGUGAAGAAGGCCUUAGGGUCGUAAAGCUCUUUCGCCAGAGAUGAUAAUGACAGUAUCUGGUAAAGAAACCCCGGCUAACUCCGUGCCAGCAGCCGCGGUAAUACGGAGGGGGUUAGCGUUGUUCGGAAUUACUGGGCGUAAAGCGCGCGUAGGCGGAUUAGUCAGUCAGAGGUGAAAUCCCAGGGCUCAACCCUGGAACUGCCUUUGAUACUGCUAGUCUUGAGUUCGAGAGAGGUGAGUGGAAUUCCGAGUGUAGAGGUGAAAUUCGUAGAUAUUCGGAGGAACACCAGUGGCGAAGGCGGCUCACUGGCUCGAUACUGACGCUGAGGUGCGAAAGUGUGGGGAGCAAACAGGAUUAGAUACCCCAGUAGUC